rnacentral:rRNA from 1 species
GAUGAACGCUAGCUACAGGCUUAACACAUGCAAGUCGAGGGACCGGCGCUCGGGUGAGUAACACGUAUCCAACCUGCCCUUUACCCGGGGAUAGCCUUUCGACAGAAAGAUUAAUACCCGAUGUUAAGGAUGGGGAUGCGUUCCAUUAGGUUGUUGGUGAGGUAACGGCUCACCAAGCCUUCGAUGGAUAGGGGUUCUGAGAGGAAGGUCCCCCACAUUGGAACUGAGACACGGACCAAACUCCUACGGGAGGGAGCAGUGAGGAAUAUUGGUCAAUGGGCGUUAGCCUGAACCAGCCAAGUAGCGGGAAGGAUGAAGGCUUAUGGGUCGUAAACUUCUUGUAUAUAAGAAUAUGUAUUAUAUGAAUAAGGAUCGGCUAACUCCGUGCCAGCAGCCGCGGUAAUUC